rnacentral:rRNA from 1 species
UGCCCACAUCACAUUGAAACACCAGUUCCCAUACGAUCACUGAAGUUAAGCAACGUCGAACCUGGUCAGUACCUAGAGGGGUGACUGCUUAGGAAUACCAGGUGCUGUAA